rnacentral:rRNA from 1 species
UACGGGGGGGGUAAGCGUUGUUCGGAAUUACUGGGCGUAAAGGGCUCGUAGGCGGCCAACUAAGUCAGACGUGAAAUCCCUCAGCUUAACUGGGGAACUGCGUCUGAUACUGGAUGGCUUGGAUUUGGGAGAGGAAUGCGGAAUUCCAGGUGUAGCGGUGAAAUGCGUAGAGAUCAUGAGGAAGACCAGUGGCGAAGGCGGGUCUCUGGACAGUUCCUGACACUGAGGCACGAAGGCCAGGGGAGCAAACGGG